rnacentral:rRNA from 1 species
UACGUAGGGCGCAAGCGUUAUCCGGAAUUAUUGGGCGUAAAGAGCUCGUAGGCGGUUUGUCGCGUCUGCCGUGAAAGUCCGGGGCUCAACUCCGGAUCUGCGGUGGGUACGGGCAGACUAGAGUGCGGUAGGGGAGAUUGGAAUUCCUGGUGUAGCGGUGGAAUGCGCAGAUAUCAGGAGGAACACCGAUGGCGAAGGCAGAUCUCUGGGCCGUAACUGGACGCUGAGGAGCGAAAGCGUGGGGAGCGAACAGG